AAUAUUUGACAAUGGGCGAGAGCCUGAUCUAUCCAGGCCUCGUGUGUGAAGAAGGUCUUUGGAUUGUAAAGCACUUUAAUUUGGGAGGAAGGGCAGUAGGUUAAUAUCUUGCUGUUUUUACGUUACCGACAGAAUAAGCAUCGGUUAACUUCGUCCCUGCAGCCGCGUCAAUACGAAGGGUGCAACCGUUAAUCGGAAUUACUGGUCUUAAGGCACGGGUAGGUGGUUCGUUAAGAAGGAAGUGAAAGAACCGGGCAUAACCUGGGGAUUGCUUUCCAAACUGACGAGCUAGAGUAGGGUAGAGGAUAGUGCAAUAUCAUGUAGAGCAGUGAAAAGAGUAGAAGUAAGAAGGAACAACAGUGGCGAAGGCGACUACCUGGAAUGAUACUGACACUGCGGUGCGAAAGCGUGGGGAGCAAACAGG
rnacentral:rRNA from 1 species